rnacentral:lncRNA from 1 species
CAGCACUUCUCUGAAGCUACCACAGAGGGAAGAACCUGGUUUUCUCCUUUGAGCAAGGCUCCCUUCACUACCCCUGCUUCAGAAAAGAAGUCAGACUCUCCGGACAGCUUUUCUGUUCCCACCAGCCAUUCUCCAGCCAUGUACUCCCAAGGCAAGGACCCUGGCUGUGGCCUGAAUCCCUGCCUUCCAGUUCCACUGACUCACGAAGGGGCAUCUGAGACCUCCUUGCUGCACUUUCUGGGAGUGUUGGCACUGUAA